rnacentral:rRNA from 1 species
CACUGUCACUCCUACGGGGAGGCAGCAGUGGGGAAUAUUGCACAAUGGGCGCAAGCCUGAUGCAGCCAUGCCGCGUGUAUGAAGAAGGCCUUCGGGUUGUAAAGUACUUUCAGUCGUGAGGAAGGCGGCGUCCGUUAAUAGCGGCGUUGUUUGACGUUAGCGACAGAAGAAAGCACCGGCUAACUCCGUGCCAGCAGCCGCGGUAAUACGGAGGGUGCGAGCGUUAAUCGGAAUUACUGGGCGUAAAGCGCAUGCAGGUGGUUUGUUAAGUCAGAUGUGAAAGACCCGGGGCUCAACCUCGGAAUUGCAUUUGAAACUGGCAGACUAGAGUACUGUAGAGGGGGGUAGGAAUUUCAGGUGUAGCGGUGAAAUGCGUAGAGAUCUGAAGGAAUACCGGUGGCGAAGGCGGCCCCCUCGGACAGAUACUGACACUCAGAUGCGAAAGCGUGGGGAGCAAACAGGAUUAGAUACCCUGGUAG